CCUACGGGCGGCAGCAGUGGGGAAUAUUGGACAAUGGGGGCAACCCUGAUCCAGCCAUGCCGCGUGUGUGAAGAAGGCCCUCGGGUUGUAAAGCACUUUCAGUGAGGAAGAACGCCUGGUGGUUAAUACCCAUCAGUAAAGACAUCACUCACAGAAGAAGCACCGGCUAACUCCGUGCCAGCAGCCGCGGUAAUACGGAGGGUGCGAGCGUUAAUCGGAAUUACUGGGCGUAAAGCGCGCGUAGGUGGCUUGAUAAGCCGGUUGUGAAAGCCCCGGGCUCAACCUGGGAACGGCAUCCGGAACUGUCAAGCUAGAGUGCAGGAGAGGAAGGUAGAAUUCCCGGUGUAGCGGUGAAAUGCGUAGAGAUCGGGAGGAAUACCAGUGGCGAAGGCGGCCUUCUGGACUGACACUGACACUGAGGUGCGAAAGCGUGGGUAGCAAACAGGAUUAGAUACCCUUGUAGUC
rnacentral:rRNA from 1 species